UUAAUGCAGGACACAUCAUACUGUGUGGAGUAACAAACAAGGAGGAAAAUCGUCUAACGUUGUAUGCACUUUGUUUACAAACGAGUGCCUUACAAAGUGCACCACAUAAAAUCGAAGGGACUUUAGUGCAUGAUGACGAAAAGUGGGUUGUAGAAAAGUUUGCAUGUUCUUGUAAAGCUGGGCAAAGUGGUCGAUGCAAGCAUAUUUCAGCAGUUUUGCUACAAUGUUCAAGGACUUCCCUCGAUAAACUUGAAGCAGUUUCGCAAACUGAUAUUAAAUGCACAUGGUCUGCUCAGAAAGGCAAAACACAAGAUAAAUAUAGAGCAAUUCCUGUUAAAGAAAUGCCGUGCAUAAAGCAAAGUGAUGGUAUGAAAUUGGACGAGGCAAUUUUAAUGGGCAUACACGAUAAUUUGGUGUCUAAAUUGCCAAAUUCAGCAUUGGCAUUACACAAGGCAGGACGACGUUGCACAAACCUUUCCACCUUUGAGAAUGAAGAAGUGUUUACUCCAUAUGAUGAGCAUGAUGUAGUCAUUUUAAAUCACGCAACGCAAUCAAUUUUAAUGAUGGAAUUGUAUCAUUUUCAUGUAAAUUUCAUAGGUUCUUGUUGUAAAGAAUUGUUCGAUAAACACUUAUUGAAAGAUAUUGACGAAAUAUUGCUUAAAACUAAACAGUCAAAAGAAUUUUGGAAUAUUGAAAGAAAAUUUAGGGUUACAGGUUCACGAAUUUAUGAACUAUAUACGUAUAAAUCAGAUGAUUGGCAAAAAAAAGCAAAUCGUUAUUUUAAUCCAAUAAGUUUCAUGAAUAAAUUUACUAAGCAUGGC